rnacentral:rRNA from 1 species
AAUGAACGCUGGCGGCAGGCCUAACACAUGCAAGUCGAACGAGGCAGCAAUGCCUAGUGGCGGACGGGUGAGUAACGCGUGGGAACGUGCCCCUUGGUACGGAAUAGCCCUGGGAAACUGGGAGUAAUACCGUAUGUGGUCGAGAGACGAAAGAUUUAUCGCCAAGGGAUCGGCCCGCGUUGGAUUAGGUAGUUGGUGGGGUAAUGGCCUCCCAAGCCGACGAUCCACAGCUGGUUUGAGAGGAUGAUCAGCCACACUGGGACUGAGACACGGCCCAGACUCCUACGGGAGGCAGCAGUGGGGAAUCUUAGACAAUGGGGGAAACCCUGAUCUAGCCAUGCCGCGUGAUCGAUGAAGGCCUUAGGGUUGUAAAGAUCUUUCAGUGGGGAAGAUAAUGACGGUACCCACAGAAGAAGCCCCGGCUAACUCCGUGCCAGCAGCCGCCGUAA